AGAAGUAGGAUAAGGAUACGGCUAAAGGCAAUAAGAACUGGCCGUCUAGCACGUUCGGAACAGAGAGUAAAAGGAGCAGGUUUCUGGGCACGAUAGCAUAGAUUCAAGGCAUAGUGUACAGCCAAAGGUAUGGUAGGAAGAGAGUACAUUGGCGGUGAACCUAGGCAUUGAGUAAUGAUAAGAGAUAUAGCCUCUAGAGACGUUUAAACCAGGUGAUGUCAUCGCAUAUGUGGGAGGUGGAACAACAUGGUUGGUUAAGGCAUAUUGAGCAGGGCUAGAGGCUCUACAGUGAAAUAAGACAGUAAUCACUAGCCAGGAUAGUAAUGAACAAGGCAUAUUGAUAUUAGGGAGAGGCAUGCGUAGCCAAGUGAUCGUAUUGGUCCAGUGAAUGGUUGGGCUGGCUGGGGACACGGUGAUUCAGACAGUUAGCAGGCCGGGGCUAGCAGGCUAGCAGUUAGCAGGCCGGGGCUAGCAAGCUAGCAGAAGGGCCUUAGAGGGACGUCGCGAUGGGGGAAAGUCUGUUUCUGCCUCAUCGUGCGGUGACGUAGAUAGACCAGUCGUGGAUUAGUGGUCCAUGAAACUGGCCGAUGGAUCAGCUAACAGUCCAAUAUGCUCUAGAUAGCUAGCAGGCCGCGGUUAGCAAAAUGGGCCUUCAGGGGGCAUCACGCCUGAGGGGCCUGUUGGAAUCCUCGGGCAGAUUAUGUCGGUAUUCCAGUCGUGAAGGAUCGGCGGGGUUCCAUGUCCCGUACCGGCAGAAGAAGGCGUCCGGAUUUUGUAGCCCAGGAGUGUGCUUCAGGAGUAGCCCAGGAGCUCUAGCCGGGAGAUGGGCCUAGCAUGGGCUAGCUCCAGGCUAAUUGGUGCUUGCUCCGGGACGGAAACGUUAGCCAGGAGUGGUCAACCUGGGUUGCAGUUAGCUAGCUGUGAUAAUCCAGAUGAAAAGGUUCAAAGUUUGCGGUGUUUUCCGCACAGCUGCGCUCAGCCACCUCAGACAGUUCCAUAUCACUCAUGAAGAUUUAUUUUGGACAGCGGCACGGAACUAUUGCCGAAACCACUAUACUGAUCUUAUCACUGUAUACAAUCAGGAGGAAGCUGAGCAGCUGAUAGAGUUAAUGAGAUCUAACGGCAGCACUAUGGCCUGGAUAGGUCUCAAUCGCAAAGAGCACAGACAGAAUUUGUCCAAUGAAAACCUUUUUGAUGAAGCUCCAUUGUCACCACCUACAGGCGAAUACACAAAGCCAAACUGUGCUCCUUUCUUGACCCGCCUGCUGAAUGAUGACUGGGAGUGGUCUGAUGGGGGGAGAUCUGCCUAUAGAAACUGGUCAAUGGACCCAAGAGAUGACCAACCCUAUGUAAAAUUAAUUACACCUGGAAGUCUGAUAGCUCUUGGGAGUGAAAACCAAGGAGAUUCAUUAUGCAAUGACGACUUGGAUGAAGAUCGUCGAGGAAAGAAAGACCUGGGAACAAGCUCUGAACCACUGCAAUAAUAAGUACCGUGGACUGCUGCGUAUUGAAUCUGAAAAGGACCAGAGGGUCGUGGAGCAGAACCUGAGGUGUGCUGGUGUCCCUGGUCCCGUGUGGGUGGGUCUGAGACAGAGUAGUGUCUUUGGGUUUUGGGUCUGGACCAAUGGGCUGCCACUGACAGGGUACUGGAAUAACUGGGAGGGGGACAGACAGCCUGAACAGCCUCUGGCCCACCACUGUGGUGCAAUGGCAACUGUGGCAGGAUACAAGUGGAGUGAUAAGGACUGUCUGUCCAUGUUCUAUUUUAUCUGUGAAAAGUGAUACAUUUCCUUACUGUCUAUCACUACCAUUCUACAUGUUUUGAUUGACAUGUUGAAUUUAGGUAAGUGAUCAUUGAAAUAAUUUCUCCAAUGUUGUUUUACAGCAUGCAAUGUAAUGUACACCUGGUCAUUAUCAAUAUAAUAUAUUAUCAAUAUACAGUAUAUGAGCAAUAUUUGAGUACAAUUGCAUGAUAUUUCUGAUAUUUUAAAUGUUUAGAACAAAAUAUAUAGAUUAUAUGAUGGUGAUUAAAUGAUGAUAGUCCUCAGUCAUUAUAUGUACAGUUGAAGUCAGAAGUUUACAAACACCUUAGUCAAAUACAUUUAAACUCAGUUUUUCACAAUUCCUGACAUUUAAUCCUAGUAAAAAUUCCCUGUAUUUGGUCAGUUAGGAUCACCACUUUGUUGUGGUCAGAAUAAUAGUAGAGAGAAUGAUUUAUUUCAGCUUUUAUUUCUUUCAUCACAUUCCCAGUGGGUCAGAAGUUUACAUACACUCAAUUAGUAUUUGGAAGCAUUGCCUUUAAAUUGUUUAACUUGGGUCAAAUGUUUCGGGUAGCCUUCCACAAGCUUCCCACAAUAAGUUGGGUGAAUUUUGGCGCAUUCCUCCUGACAGAGCUGGUGUAACUGAGUCAGGUUUGUAGGCCUCCUUGCUCGCGCACACUUUUUCAGUUCUGCCCACACAUUUUCUAUAGGGUUGAGGUCAGGGAUUUGUGAUGGCCACUCCAAUACCUUGGAGUCCAUUUGGAAGACCCAUUUGCGACCAAGCUUUAACUUCCUGACUGAUGUCUUGAGAUGUUGCUUCAAUAUAUCCACAUAAUUUUCCCUCCUCAUGAUGUCAUCUAUUUUGUGAAGCGCACCAGUCCCUCCUGGAGCAAAGCACCCCCACAACAUGGUGCUUGCCACUCCUGUGCUUCAUGGUUGGGAUGGAGUUCUUCGGCUUGCAAGCCUCCCCCGUUUUCCUCCAAACAUAACAAUGGUCAUUAUGGCCAAACGGUUCUAUUUUUUAUUUCAUCAGACCAGAGGACAUUUCUCCAAAAAGUUUGAUCUUUGUCCCCAUGUGCAGUUGCAAACCGUAGUCUGGCUUUUUUAUGGCAGUUUUGGAGCAGUGGCUUCUUCCUUGCUGAACAGCCUUUCAGGUUAUGUCCAUAUAGGACUCAUUUUACUGUGGAUAUAGAUACUUUUGUACCUGUUUCCUCCAGCAUCUUCACAAGGUCCUUUACUGUUGUUCUGGGAUUGAUUUGCACUUUUCGCACUAAAGUACGUUCAUCUCUAGGAGACAGAAUGCGUCUCCUACCUGAGCGGUAUGGCGGCUGCGUGGUCCCAUGGUGCUUAUACUUGCGUACCAUUGUUUGUACAGAUAAACGUGGUACCUUCAGGAGUUUGGAAAUUGCACCCAAGGAUGAACCAGACUUUUGGAGGUCUGCAAUUUUUUUCUGAGGUCUUGGCUGAUUUCUUUUGAUUUUCCCAUGAUGUCAAGCAAAGAGGCACUGAGUUUGAGGGUAGGCCUUGAAAGACAUCCACAGGUACACCACCUAUUGACUCAAAUGAUGUCAAUUAGCCUAUCAGAAGUUUCUUAAGCCAUGACAUAAUUUUCUGGAGUUUUCCAUUCUGUUUAAAGGCACAGUCAACUUAGUGUAUGUAAACUUCUGACCAACUGGAAUUUGUGAUACAGUGAAUUAUAAGUGAAAUAAUCUGUCAGUAAACAAUUGUUGGAAAAAUUACUUGUGUAAUGCACAAAGUAGAUGUCCUAACCGACUUGCCAAAACUAUAGUUUGUUAACAAGAAAUUUGUGGAGUGGUUGAAAAACGAGUUUUAAUGACUCCAACCUAAGUGUAUGUAAACUUCCAACUCAACUGUAUGCCAUUUAGCUGACAGUUUUAUCUUAAAGACCCAGUGCAGUCAAAAUGCAGUUUUACUAGGUUUUGUAUGUCACGUCUACACCUGCUCCCUCUUUCCAGUACGCGACGUCACCGGUCUACUAACCACCGGCCCUUGCAACAAUUAUUAUGCACACCUGCUCCAAAUCAUUACGCACACCUGGUCAUCAUUAGCUCCUUGAUUAUUUCCCCUUUGUUUAGCCCUCAAUAGGUAGUGUUUAGGUAGUAUUGUUUUCUCUCAUGUUCUGUAUGCGGCUCAUGUUUUGUUCAUCUGCAGCGAUUCAUUAUUUAACUUUAUUCUGCAUCUGACUCCCAGCGUAUUACGUUAUAUUGUAUCAUAUUGUACAACAGUUGAUGAAACUAACAAUGUAAAACUGUGAACACAUUUUAUCAGUGUUAAUUCCUGAUUGUUGCCGGUUGAAAAUACAAUCUACACAGGACCUUCCAAUCAGCAGGUCUGCAUGUGCGAGAGUUUUGGCUCUCCAUCAUGAUAUCGCUAUGCGGUAAAUUGGUUAGAUUUGGUUAUGUCAUUUUAGGCGAAAAUGUAAAAAAAAGGGUCCGAUCCUUAAGAGGUUUUUAACCUGUUGGGGAUAGGGGGCAGUAUUUGCACGGCCGGAUAAAAAACGUACCCGAUUUAAUCUGGUUACUACUCCUGCCCAGUAACUAGAAUAUGCAUAUAGUUUGAUUUAGAUAGAAAACACCCUAAAGUUUCUAAAACUGUUUGAAUGGGGUCUGUGAGUAUAACAGAACUCAUUUGGCAGGCCAAAACCUGAGAAGAUUCCAAACAGGAAGCGCUCUCUCUGACCAUUUCAUGGCCUUCUUGAUCAUCUCUAACCAAAACAUGGGAUCUCUGGCAUAACGUGACAUUUUCUAACGCUCCCAUAGGCUCUCAGAAGGCGCCAGAACGAUGAAUGGUGGCUUUGCAGGCCAUGGCUGAAAAACAUUAGCGCAUUUGGUAAGUGGUCGAUCUGAGGACAAUGAGACUGGAGGCGCGUGCAUGUUUACUUUCUCUCUCUUUGAACGAAAACAACGACUCCCGGUCGGAAUAUUAUCGCUUUUUUACGAGAAAAAUAGCAUAAAAAUUGAUUUUAAACAGCGUUUGACAUGCUUCGAAGUACGGUAAUGGAAUAUUUUUUAAUUUUUUGUCACAAAACGCUUCUUUACCCUUCGGAUAGUGUCUUGAACGCACGAACAAAACGCUGCUAUUUGGAUAUAACUAUGGAUUAUUUUGAACCAAACCAACAUUUGUUAUUGAAGUAGAAGUCCUGGGAGUGCAUUCUGACGAAGAACAGCAAAGCUAAUCAAACUUUUCUAAUAGUAAAUCGGAGUUUGGUGAGUACCACACUUGGUGGGUGUCAAAAUAGUUAGCCUGUGAUGGCCGGGCUAUCUACUCAGAAUAUUGCAAAAUGUGCUUUCACCGAAAAGCUAUUUUAAAAUCGGACAUAGCGAGUGCAUAAAGGAGUUCUGUAUCUAUAAUUCUUAAAAUAAUUGUUAUUAAUUGUUUUUUGUGAACGUUUAUCGUGAGUAAUUUAGUAAAUUCACUGGAAGUGUUCGGUGGGAAUGCUAGUCACAUGCUAGUCACAUGCUAAUGUAAAAAGCUGGUUUUUGAUAUAAAUAUGAACUUGAUUGAACAAAACAUGCAUGUAUUGUUUAACAUAAUGUCCUAGGAUUGUCAUCUGAUGAAGAUCAAAGGUUAGUGCUGCAUUUAGCUGUGGUUUGGGUUUAUGUGACAUUAUAUGCUAGCUUGAAAAAUGAUUAACAAGAGUCUUGUCUUUAAAAUGGUGUAAAAUAGUCAUAUGUUUGAGAAAUUGAAGUAAUAGCAUUUCUACGGUAUUUGAAUAUCACGCCACGGGAUUACACUGGCUGUUGAGUAGGUGGGACGCAAGCGUGGGACGCAAGCGUCCCACUGGCCCAGAGAGGUUAACAGACCAAUAACAAAGAAAGUUCCAAACCACUCGGCCAGUAACAGCUAGUUUUCAGUUUUCUCCUCCCCAUUCAGACCACUCCCAGACAAUCCGAGCAAGAUUCUUGUUCAAUAGUUUUUUGCAAAAAAGCUAAUUUAAAAAAUUGUAAUGGAAAUCUAUUACAGUAAGGUACGUUACCCAGAAAUGAUUUGAUAAUGAUAUAAAAAUGGCUGCAUUGGGCCUUUAAGUUUACCCAUAGUCAUCAACGUUCCACUCAUCACUAUGGGUUAUUUGUGACAAACUAUCAUUAUCAGUCAGAAGUUGCAAUGGAUAAUUUGCACAUAUAUUAUGUUCUUAUCAACAUUUAGAUUUUUCGCUGUUUGGGGAUUUCAUCUGGUUUUAACAAAACAAUGUCUUUGCUUUCAUAGUAUGUAUGUAUUAUUGCCACACUCAGAGAAUGUAACGGUUGUCGUCGGGAAUGGAGGAC
rnacentral:lncRNA from 1 species